rnacentral:lncRNA from 1 species
AACAUAAUAUAAUAUAUUAGUAUUAAAAUAAUACAAUAUAAUACGUCAAACACACACUAAAAAAAUUAAUUUUGGUCAACAAAAGAGUUGAUGUGUGCGGCAGAUUUCUAUGCCCGUUUUAAAGAGAAGCACAUGCACUCGGCCGUUCAAGGAACGGAAUUUCAAAAUGGCGAGUCGUUGAUUCGUUAUUAAUGAUGAAAAUAAUCAAAUGGUUGAGAACAGAGAAUCGUGUCACCAGCACAAUAACAUAGCUCGGGAACUGAGCCAAAACUAAAAUGGUCAAGCCCGCCGGCUAUGCUCAGGCAGUCAAACAAACUCAAUAAGAUGGCUAGCCACAGCUGUCUAGACUGUAGCUGUAUUCUUAUAGCAAAUCCUUCGCAUGCAUCUUCAUUCUCAUCUCUUCAUAGAUAAAUUAAUAAAAAGCGGUAAAAUGAGUAUCAUAAACAGAAUUUUUUUAAAAAAUAAAAUUAUCAAUCCGGUUAGAUUUUUAUCCGUAAAAUUCAUCUAUAUGCACCAUAAUCUUAAAUACGCGCAUCACAGGAAUACAAAAAAUAGAUGUUUCAUUCUUUCAUGAUUUUUUUUUUGUUCAAUUAAUUAUGAACCUAGCCUUAUAACUUGACAAUUUUUUUUUAUAAAAUUUAA